UUGAUAUUUCUGCAUCUGCUACCUUCUUGGAGGGAUUUUCUCAGCAAAGAUUUUGGCAAUAUAUUUGCGAUAGCUCACAAGCAUUUGAAAGAAAAAAAGAUACUGUGCUGGCUACGAUGCCCAAAACAUUUUUGGGAGUCCAAACUGGAACUACAUGGACUCAGAAAGAACCCAGCCCCCCUCAUUUUACAGCAUCUCCAAUGGAAGGGCUUGCUGAGCAAAUGAUGACCAUGAACAAGAUUACAGGGGAGUGGAGUUCAAAGUACUGCAGAGGACAAAUUGCUUGGGAGUCCUCUGGGCUACCGUUGAUGUCCUAAGUACAAAUCAUUCUUCGCUAUUCAUUAAAGCAUGUGCCCUAAAGAGUCCUAGCAGCUUGGUUCCAAUGAUUAUAUAUAUUUGCAAGUAAUGAAAACAGCAUUUCUUUUCACAUAGCCUAUAAUUCAAACUUUUGAUUCCUUUCCACUGGACUUGCCUCUAAUGAAGGCAAAGUGAGGCUUCACUCUAUGUAUUUCAAAUCUUAUUCAUCUUUGGCAAAAGUUUAAGUGGCUCUGCUUUUCAAAAAGAACACUAACACAGGAUGGGGAAGGGAGAAAGGGGAAACUGUACUUAAUUACUGACACUUGCUGCCCGUGAGCUCCACCUGUGAGCUUGGGCAAGUUAUAAAACUUCUCGGCACCCCCGAUUCCCCGCCGUUAAAAUGGGACAAAUUUAGUACUUACUUCAUAUUCUGAUCUAUAUCCCUAGCAAUAUUUGAAAUUCAGCCUUUUCUUACAUCCUGUCCUGUUUAAUCUUAGACCUGCUAUUUAUCUCUCUGGGCCUCAAUUUCCUCAUCUGUAAAAUGAGGAUAAUAACAGUCUUUACUUCUUAACAUUGAAUAAUGCAUAUAAAUAGCACAGCACAGAGCCUGGCAGAUACUAAGUGCUCUAUAAAUGGUAGUCUUCACCAUUGUUAUUAUGAAUACUAUUAUUGCUAUAGGACCAGAAGCAAAGUUGUGUGAAUUCCUCCUCUGUGGGCUGGAUUAGGACUAGGUUUGCCCCAGGAUUAGACAGCGGAGAGUGAGUGAAUGAGUGAGAGAUUGCUGCUGAGAAGCUCUUUUUAAGUCCUCCUUGGAGCUCUCGCAGGAAAUAAUAUCUAGCUCUGCUCACAGCAGUGACAUGAUGUCAGAACUACAGAUUUGAACUGCAUCAUGAACCAGAAACUGGAACAAACGACAUAACUUUGCUGUACUCCAAACCAAAUCCAAAUAUUAAUUUUUAAAUUGAACUGUGAACCAAAUAGAAUGAACAACAACAACAACAAAAAGGAGUGGAGAAAGGAGAAAAAGAAUUCUUAAUAAUCUCACUGGAAGUGAACCUUUAGGCUUUAUAAGAUGAACUGAGGCAGAACUGAAACAUGAACACGUUGAUUCGGUUGGAAUCCCUGGAGAAGCAGCAGCAGCAGUUUGUGUGCCUGUGAUACUUGGCUGCUGCCCACCAGCUGUCCUAAUGGGCUAUGCCCUGUGCCCCCUCCACUCCUCUACCCGCGUCCCCAUCGUGGGAACAGAUCAACAGCUGGAGCCAUCGUGGGGGACCAGAAGGCUCAGUUUCAGGGAUGAAAGGAAAGCAGUAGAAUACACGUAUGUGCCUUGGAGAUACCUUCCUUCUUGCCCAGGCUGUGUGGCAGGAAGCUGUAGAUGGGAGAGUGGCACUAGCAGUGAGUCCCCUCAGCUUUACCCAGGAGUCUGUGCCCUGCAGCCUGUGAUGGGCUGUCUCAGCUACACCGCACCCCCCAGCAAAACCAAGCACUGUGACCACCUGAACCCAUUGACCCUCCAACCCUUCCUGCUCCGAAUGAUCAAUUUCUACUUGAGCUGCUCCUCUGGGUAAUCCAGGGUUUUCUCCUGAAUGCCCCACCCAAGCUUGGAUAGACCAGUGUAUCUUGAAUAGACUAGGUACCCACGAUCCCAACUCUUCACUCCUUCCACUAAAACACGCCAUCAGGCCCUGAGGCCCUGUCCAUUAGGGCCUUGCUCAUUGCUGGAGUUCACGAAGACAGUGUGGUGUUCUGGCCAGACAGUGAACUCCAGUGUUCGUCCAACCUGGGUUUCAAUCCCAGUACUGCCACUUAUUAACUGUGUGACUUUAGAUAAGUUACUUACCCUCUCUAAGCCUCAGUUUCUGCAUCUGUAAAAUGGGGAUAAUAAUAUUACUACCUCAUACAGUUCUUGUCAGUACCCAAUAAAAUAACAUAUAGCUCCUAAGAAUAGAGGUGGCCCUGCUAUCAAAGGGAAAGCCCAGAAUAUAAUAAUAGGCUGGGUGAAUAUAUUGGUCAUGGUGAUGUCCAGGCUGGGACAGGGUUAGUAAGUGCUUAAGUGGCACCCAGUUCUCAAACAGGAGGGCAGCGAGCCAUGUGGUGGCUUAGGUGUUAACAUCACUAUUUGCUCUUUGCCCAGGGUAGCCCCACAGAAGAAGCCUGAGUUCCUGGACUCUCCUUAGACCCACUACCCAGAGGCCUGGAUGUGGCCUACAGUCUCCCCACUGCUGUAUCUUCCCUGGGCACUUGAACCUUCCUCCCUCAUGCCCACUUAUUGGCCUAUGGACUGUUCUCCACAGGCACAGUUUGGAUCAGCUCAUCUGAUGAUGUUCCACUGGCUGGCUGUUUACGGGUUAACAUAGGGCUCCCUCUUCCAGAAUCAGACUUGCAUUUCACAAGGCCUGUUUUUCCAGUCCUCUUUAGGCAAGGGAGAAACAGCUGUGCCCCCUUUGGAACCCCAAUGAGUGUCCAGCGUUUGUCUGCAGCUUUCCAGAAUGUCAGAAUGUUCCUUGAAUGGUACAUUUGUUCCAGUUGAGAGUUCGAGGGAUGGGCAGGGGUGGGGCUGGGAACUGAAGUGGGGUGAAGGGAAGUGGGUGUUGUUCAGAGCCCCACACCUGCUAUUCCUAAUACCAGGAAGCAGGGUGGGCUGUUUCACCCAGACUGAGCUGAAUUAGAAACACAAACUACAAAGGGAAGAAUUCUCAGCCACGGGGUCUUUAGAAGGCAUGACCAUCAACUUUAGCACCCAAGACCCUUGGCACUGGAGGACUCUUAUUCCAUCCAUAGAGUUAUCUGUUUUUUGCUUCUCCUCUGGGUUCACUGAGUUCCAAACCGGCAGCUGCUCUUUUUCUAAGAAGUGUGGAGAGUGUGGCGAGUAUGAAUUUUACCACAAGCUAAAUCUCCUGAGAAGGAUCAGCAUUAACAGUUCAAGAGGCAUUGAUUCCGGUACAGGAAAUGCUAAGAGAUGUUUGCAGACAAGCCCAUCCAAUGUAUAGUAAAGGAAUUCCGGACACCAAGCCAAAAGCAAAGGACAUCUGACUAGGGCAUUGGGACAACUGGGACUUACUCCAACUCUGACCUGUUCGGGCCAGAGACAUCCUUUUCUCCGGAUCCCACAGGUAU